CUGUAACUGACGCUGAGGCUCGAAAGCGUGGGGAGCGAACAGGAUUAGAUACCCUGGUAGUCCACGCCGUAAACGAUGAGUGCUAGGUGUUAGGCCCUUUCCGGGGCUUAGUGCCGCAGCUAACGCAUUAAGCACUCCGCCUGGGGAGUACGACCGCAAGGUUGAAACUCAAAGGAAUUGACGGGGGCCCGCACAAGCGGUGGAGCAUGUGGUUUAAUUCGAAGCAACGCGAAGAACCUUACCAGGUCUUGACAUCCCGAUGCCCGCUCUAGAGAUAGAGUUUUACUUCGGUACAUCGGUGACAGGUGGUGCAUGGUUGUCGUCAGCUCGUGUCGUGAGAUGUUGGGUUAAGUCCCGCAACGAGCGCAACCCUUAUUGUUAGUUGCCAUCAUUCAGUUGGGCACUCUAGCGAGACUGCCGGUAAUAAACCGGAGGAAGGUGGGGAUGACGUCAAAUCAUCAUGCCCCUUAUGACCUGGGCUACACACGUGCUACAAUGGCUGGUACAACGAGUCGCAAGUCGGUGACGGCAAGCUAAUCUCUUAAAGCCAGUCUCAGUUCGGAUUGUAGGCUGCAACUCGCCUACAUGAAGUCGGAAUCGCUAGUAAUCGCGGAUCAGCACGCCGCGGUGAAUACGUUCCCGGGCCUUGUACACACCGCCCGUCACACCACGAGAGUUUGUAACACCCG
rnacentral:rRNA from 1 species